rnacentral:lncRNA from 1 species
AAACCAUAAACCUCAAUACCCCGUCCGGUAUGAGGGUGAAACGGGCCGUCCCCAUACCCCGUCUGGUAUGGGCGUCAAAACACAUAAGAUCUCCAUACCCCGUCCGGUAUGGGAGACCACAAUCCCGGUAGGGUUCCCUACGGACCCGGUCCGUCCACCAUAUCCCAGGAUAUCUAGUCAGGCUGAACACAUUAUACAAUUUCCAUUCACAUAAUCUUUCAUUCUCCUUUUCCCUCAGUCAGCAUUAUCAAUCACAUACAAACAAGCAAAACGAUAAUUUAUGCCAAACAGA